ACUGAAGGAAUCGUCUCCGUUCUCACUGUGGUCCCUCUUGUGAACAUGGGUCUAAAAAUGCCAGUUACAGGCCUCUGGUCUGGUGGCUUGGAAGGAACCCCCACUGGGUCCCUGCCUGGAGGCUCCUAGCAGGGUGCUGUGAAGAGUGCUCAGGAUUCUUCCUCAUCCUGGGCCCCCCACCCCCAGCCUCUCCUAGAGCCCACUGGGGGCUGGGCCUCCCGGACAAGCUGCCCUGACUUGGUCCUGGAUCAGUGGCAGUGUUGAUUCUCACGGAAGAAGCUGCGUCUGGUGUCCAAAGGCAGAGCCAGGCCGACCUGCAGGCGCGGCUCCUGCUGUGGGCUGGUCCACAGCACGGCUCAGCUUUGGCGCUGUGCUCCACGCCUGCCUGUGCACGUCGCGGCUCCUGGCGCUAACCCUGUUACUCAUCUUGGAUCUUUAUUCCUCUGAUUUUACCUGCUCUCUCUUUCUCAGUGUUGAGUGUGUGCCUCAUAAGCUGCCUAACUGCCCUCCUCGUGCCCACCACUCCUACCAUUCUUGAGAAAGAUGUAGAGGAGGAUGAUGCGGAUUUUGUCGUAAGUGCUGACAUUUGCGUCCAGCAGAAUGGGGACGAUGGCUCUCAUGGGGUCCUUGAUCUUCUCACCUUCAGCAUCCGUGCCCAUGGCCAGGUCCUGCAGAAACACGCCACGCUGGCCCCACUUCUGGUGACAGUCUGGAUAGGCGGUCGCUGUUCCCUUCAGGAGGUGCCAGGGAACCUGUGCCAGCCUCAGGGGAAGCUUCGAGCCAGGGCAGCAGGCUCAGCCCAUCAAGAACUAUUGGUCCCGUUGUGGCUGCAACUUCCUCUGUGGUUCCCUUUUUUCCCCUCAAGAUCCCAGGAGUUCAUAACAAUUAUGACCUCAAGUUCAUGGCCUCUUCCCAGUCUGGGUGGGAGGAAGGCAGGGCACCUCUCCUAGGCCCCUUCACCUCUCAAUCCCACCACCAGCCUCACGGAUGUUUGUUCAGCAGGACCUGAUUCUAACACUUUCCAAAAGGCAGAUUAAAUGUAACUAGUUCACCAAAUACUACUGCGCAUUCUGCAACAACUUAAUUCCGAGGGAUGAUCCCGACUGCGCUGUUACGGAUGCAGAGAUAACCCACCCUCUGGCGGUGAAGGCCUUUCGGAGAGGACGCCUGUGUCGGCCAAGAUCCCCUGGGAAACUGACGGGUUCAGCCGGGCUGCGUCCAUUCGAAGAGGCAAUGAAUCGGGGCAGGUCUCUCAAACCUAAGCUGAGCCCAUCAUAUCAAACCAGAAGAUGUAACCUCAGCAUCUCACUGAGAACUUGAGCUGUUUUUACUGUGAAGCGGGCCUUCUGCUGAGGCCUCAGGAUGGCUGAGUGCUCUCUCCCCCCCCCAGAAGCUGCCCCUGGCUGGGUCAUGGUAUUACAAUGGAAGAACUAAGUGCUAGCUUACUGACCCCACACCACACCACACCACACUCCCAGAAGUCAUGGCAGCAUUGCAUUUCCCUCUGCAGAUGAGGAAAAUACAGAGAGAAAUGGGCACAGCAAACAUAUCCGUGACAGAGACACAACUCAAAUCCCAAACUCUGACCCUUCCAGCCCUAACUGCGAUCAGUGAGGCGGGGGCAAGUUCCCCACCUGCUACUGCACUACCAGAGGCCUCCAAAGCUGCUGUGGCUGCAGCAGGAGGAAAUGCAUUCGGAUAUAAACUCAGCCGGCCCCGCCUGUAGGGCUCAGAACCUCUGGAAAGCCAGACAUGCAAAAUCCACACGGCACGGCCUUCCAGACCAUCCAGUCCCUACCCUUGAGAGUGUGCGGCACUGGCUCGCGAGGUGAGACCACACGAUCCCGUAGGCCUUCCCAUCUCUAUUUCCUAUGAUUCUGCAGGAUGUUCAAGGUCAGAGGUUAAACUUCUGCUGGGUAAGUGGUCAUGGCAGGAAGAGAAGGAAAGGGUCCUACCUGCUCCACCCGGCAGAGCUUGUCCACGGUGCCUUGGUAAUGCUUCAUGCAGUCCUCGGCAAGAUGCAGGUGGGUGGAAUACUAGGAAAAAGCAGUUUGUGAUCAAGAAUUACUCGCUGAUAUGUGUGCCACCUACCUAGGAUGCAUAAACACUGGGCCAGACACCAAGGAAUCACCAGCCUCAUGCAGGCCGGCACACAACCACUGCAAGGCAGGGCAUUAUGUGUCAAGAGAGGGACAAACCACAUUUAAAGGGUCAACAGGAAGGAGGAAUCCUUCGUGGGUGGGAUGGGGUGGGCUGAUGGCUGUACA